rnacentral:lncRNA from 1 species
GGGCAGAGUCAUAUCUACGGUGAAACGGAAAAAUUUAAGUGGUUUAACUUUGGAGAUCCAAAAUGGUGAUGUACUUUGUGACAUGUGUUCCCUUGGAAUAGCAGGCAGAGUCAUACAUAUAUGGAAAUUGCUCGAAACAUUUGAAGUGCAUGUUGGAGAAAGCAAGUAAGUGCUAGUUGUUACGAAGCUUAGUUAGUAGUGGUUUGGUGGGAUCGAAUCAGUGUCCUCGGACUUGUUCCCGCUAAGGAAAUUCAUGUGGAUCUUUAUAAUAAGUCCUCAGUGAUUGUUCUAUCGUUAGCAUUCUCGCUUACUCCAAUCACGAGGUCAAGUUCACUAAACCUUGAUUGUCAAUUGUACAAUAAAUUCUUCGAGCGUUGUUUUCAUUUAGAUUAAAUAGUUUUCUUGGGAGACCUCUCGAUACAAGACGUUAUUCUCAUCAAUUUCCAAAAAGGGGUUGCGACCAAUGGAAAUUGAAAUUCCUCACAAGAGUUGUGAAGUACGAAUAAUCCUUGGACUUGUUUUGACCCUCAAAUUCUUGAGUGUUCUUUUAGCCUUCUCGACAUGGUUUCUCACUUAAUCAGUAAGGAAUUCACGAAGGAUCGACUCGGCUGAAGUGUACACCCAAUUCAUAUCGAUUUGGACAAGAAUGUUAGGAGCAUAAUCUUUUCACAAGCUUACCAGAGUUCUACGUGGGUGUGAGGUUUGAGCCGUCUUUUAGUAAGAGAUUGAUGAAGGUUGUAGUGCAGGUAGUCAGCGAACUGCAUCACCAAUCACUAUCUUCACGCAAAAAUGAAUUGUCACUUCUCAUUAUCUUACUACAAUUCAUAAACAUCAUAUCUUACUCUAGUAGUUCUUUUCCAACGAUAUGUGUUCGUCUCAACGCAUCUUUCCACUGCUUCACUCCAGGACCUUUUUGUUCGUGAGUACGUGGAUGUCGAGACACUUCUAGCAGAUCUAUUUGGUGUGCUCUGGAACGGUACAACAGCGCGGUCGAGGUGAGAAUCAGACGAUCUUUGCACACUCUCACGUGCGGGGAAAAAUGGUAUUUUGGCAUCGUUGGGAACUUCUCACUUACAUAUCGAGACAACAAUGUGUUGUCAAUAUUGCAGGCUGCAUACUGUGAUAUUGAUAGCUUAUUUGUUGGGUUCGUUAAGCAAGUGGGCAGGUAGACCCAUCUACGGUAAAUGUUACAGAGUAGUCAUUAUUGGGGCUCGACCCAAAGACAACUUUUCUCGUAGUACGUGACGUUACGUAUGCUUGGGUGAUACCCACUUUUAUUUUCAGUUUUGGUUUUCAAUAGAAGUAUUUUGAAUUACCUUAUAUUAAAUAUAUCUUUUUGAAGUUACAAAUGUUUGGUUGAGUCUUUUUCAUCUUCAGUUUUAAGCUCAGCAGGAGUUUUCGACCUUUAUGUUAUUACAUAUCUAUUUUGACGUUAUCGUAUUCUACGUUCUUACUUUUGACCCUAUGCUAUUAUACAUUUUUGACUUUAUAUCUUUACAAAGUAUGUUUAUACUUUUACACGGAUAGGGGAAGAAGGUAUGAGCUUGGAGACAUGAAAGAUGGAGUCAUUGCAACCCGAUCGUGAUGGUGUGGCAUCUUCCCAUUUAUGCAACCGCUCUGACUUGAUUUCUUCAUUACAUAUAUUUUCUUCUACCUAUCUUCGAGUAUUUUUGUAUUGUAAGUUAUUUCAAAUUUCGGGACGAAAUUUUCUUAAUGGGGGUAGAUUGUAACAAACCAUCCGGAAAUUACGGAACAUAACGGUAUUUUCGUAAAUUUUCACUUUGGGCUAGAUAUUUUGAAAUGGGAUUGCUUUUGGUUAUAAUUGGUGUGCCCAAGGGGCCCACCCUUGAUUUUGUCCCCCAGGCGCAAAUCCCUCAUCUCUCUCUUUUCCCUUACAACUUUCUCUCUUUCUUUCACAACUCUCUCAUCUCUCUCCUUUACUCUUGGCCCUCUCAUUUAUCUCUAAAAAACCAACCCUCAUAGAGGGUUUUCACUAAAACAACAACAGCCUAGACUACACCACAACCUUUCCUCAUUGUCCCUACGAGUUAUUGGACCAAGAAAAUAGAAGAAAAACCAUUCGAAAACUCACCCUUGAGCUGCAUUGUUCAAGGAACUUCUCCGACGAUUUCUCGCCAUUUUUGACGAAGGUAAGCCUCAAAAUUGGUCCCUAUCAUUGUAGAUCAUGUCUAGGUUCAUGGUUAGUAUGUUUUUGGGCUGUUUUGGUGGUGUAGGAACUCGGAAAAGCUCAAGGAAAGCAAUGUGAAAAUCUGGAAAUUUCCAGGCCGUGGUCAUUUGGCCAUCU